GAUGAACGCUGGCGGCGUGCUUAACACAUGCAAGUCGAACGGAAAGGCCCAAGCUUGCUUGGGUUCUCGAGUGGCGAACGGGUGAGUAACACGUGGGCGAUCUGCCCUGCACUUCGGGAUAAGCCUGGGAAACUGGGUCUAAUACCGGAUAGGACGAUGGUUUGGAUGCCAUUGUGGAAAGUUUUUUCGGUGUGGGAUGAGCUCGCGGCGUAUCAGCUUGUUGGUGGGGUAAUGGCCUAGCAAGGCGUAGACGGGGAGCCGGCAUAAGGGAGUGUACGCACGCAUUAGAACUGUAAUGGAGCCCAGAGUCCGACGGAAGGGAGCAGUGGGGAAUGUUGGACACAGGCAGACAGCCUGAGGCAGCGAGGCCGCGUGGGGGUUGAGGGCCUUCGGGUUGUAAGCAAAUUUCGCUGGGAACGAAGCGUUUUUGUGACGGUACCUAAAGAAGAAGCACCGGCUAACUUCGUG
rnacentral:rRNA from 1 species